GUGCACGCUGGCGGUAGGCCUAACACAUGCAAGUCGAACGGCAGCACAGUAAGAGCUUGCUCUUACGGGUGGCGAGUGGCGGACGGGUGAGGAAUACAUCGGAAUCUACUUUUUCGUGGGGGAUAACGUAGGGAAACUUACGCUAAUACCGCAUACGACCUACGGGUGAAAGCAGGGGAUCUUCGGACCUUGCGCGAUUGAAUGAGCCGAUGUCGGAUUAGCUAGUUGGCGGGGUAAAGGCCCACCAAGGCGACGAUCCGUAGCUGGUCUGAGAGGAUGAUCAGCCACACUGGAACUGAGACACGGCCCAGACUCCUACGGGAGGCAGCAGUGGGGAAUAUUGGACAAUGGGCGCAAGCCUGAUCCAGCCAUACCGCGUGGGUGAAGAAGGCCUUCGGGUUGUAAAGCCCUUUUGUUGGGAAAGAAAAGCAGCAGGUUAAUACCCCGCUGUUCUGACGGUACCCAAAGAAUAAGCACCGGCUAACUUCGUG
rnacentral:rRNA from 1 species